rnacentral:rRNA from 1 species
GAUGAACGCUGGCGGCGUGCCUAAUACAUGCAAGUCGAGCGAACAGACGAGGAGCUUGCUCCUCUGACGUUAGCGGCGGACGGGCGAGUAACACGUGGAUAACCUACCUAUAAGACUGGGAUAAUUUCGGGAAACCGGAGCUAAUACUGGAUAAUAUAUUGAACCGCAUGGUUCAAUAGUGAAAGACGGCUUUGCUGUCACUUAUAGAUGGAUCCGCGCCGCAUUAGCUAGUUGGUAAGGUAACGGCUUACCAAGGCGACGAUGCGUAGCCGACCUGAGAGGAUGAUCGGCCACACUGGAACUGAGACACGGUCCAGACUCCUACGGGAGGCAGCAGUGGGGAAUCUUGGGCAAUGGGCGAAAGCCUGACGGAGCAACGCCGCGUGAGUGAUGAAGGUCUUCGGAUCGUAAAGCUCUGUUAUUAGGGAAGAACAAAUGUGGAAGUAACUAUGCACGUCUUGACGGUACCUAAUCAGAAAGCCCCGGCUAACUACGUG